GUCGUUGCUGCAGUGGUUGUUCCUGUUCUCGUCCUCAUUGCUGCCGCUGGAUUCAUUGUUUACAAAAAGAAGAAAGCCAAAUGCCCUCCAUCUCCUCCUGACAACGGCUCUGAGCUCUCUGAGAGACUGAAUCCAGCCAUAUGACAAGUAUCACAUUACAUAGCUUUACAGAACUAAAAGAGACUGAAACAUGACUUCCUUCUUUUAUUUGGUAAGACAGGACAAGAGACAUAAUUCAUGAAAAGUUCCUCAUACCACAGGGGUUACUUACUAGUAGCUAUUGGUAAGACUAGUGGAACCAGAUAGACAGUGAUGGUAGCUGGACUACUGGCCAUGGCAUUCACAUUAGAUUUCUUAUAAAGUCUGUUGGGCCAGCCAGUGUAGUUUAGCCUGAGCAGAGACAAUCAGUAGAUAUAAGGCUGCAGAGUGUCUGCUCUUUACUUGGGUGAGUGAAGGAUUUAAAGGCAGCUUGAAGGUACGUUAGGUCAGGGUUAGAGAAUAGUGUCGCCUGUCACAGGGCCAACUGCAUGACCUAAUGAUAUCAUUUAACGUGAAUACUGGGCUUCCAUAGGAAUGCUCACCCAACUUUUGGCACAUCUGAUAACCAGAAAUUAAUGUCAAAAUCAAAUGUAUUGCUCUUUCUUUUGGUGCUGAUGUUUGGCUUUUCAAUAAAGUCCCAAAUUUUCAA